UUGUUUUUCAAAACAUGGUUUUUUGUUUAUAUAAAAGAUCUGGCCUGCCCAAUGAUUUUUAAAUGGCUGCAGUAUUUUGACUGUACAAAGGUAGCAUAAUCAUUAGUCUUUUGAUUGAAGGCUGGUAUGAAUGGUUGGAUGAAAAGUAUACUUUCUUUAUUUUAUAAAAAUAAUUUAAUUUCUUAGUCAAAAAGCUAAGAUGAUUUUAUAGGACGAGAAGACCCUAUAGAACUUUACUUAUUUUUUAAGUAUAUAUUUUUAGUUUAUUAUAAAUUUAUAUUUAUAUAUAAGUUUCAUUGGGGUGAUGGAAAAAAUAUUAUAACUUUUUUUGGUUUUUACAUUUAUGUAUGUUUUUUGAUCCUUUAUUAUGGAAAAAAGAUUAAGUUACCUUAGGGAUAACAGCGUUAUUUUUUUGGAGAGUUCAUAUCGAUAAAAAAGUUUGCGACCUCGAUGUUGGAUUAAAAUAAGUGACAGGGGUAGAAUAUUGUCUGUUAGGUCUGUUCGACCUUUAAAUUUUUACAUGACGGUUUUCCCCC
rnacentral:rRNA from 1 species